AAUGAACGCUGGCGGCAGGCCUAAAACAUGCAAGUCGAACGCCCUAGCAAUAGGGAGUGGCGCUCGGGUGAGUAACAUGUGGGAAUGUGCCUUUUGGUACGGAACAACGUUUGGAAACGAACGCUAAUACCGUAUGGUCCCUCCGGGGUAAAGAUUUACCGCCAAAAGAUUAGCCCGCACUAGAUUAGCUAGUUGGUAAGGUAAUGACUUACCAAGGCGACGAUCUAUAGCUGUCUGAGAGGACGAUAAGCCACACUGGGACUGAGACACGGACCAGACUCCGACGGGAGGCAGCAGUGGGGAAUAUUGGACAAUGGGGGCAACCCUGAUCCAGCCAUGCCGCGUGAGUGAUGAAGGCCUUCGGGUUGUAAAGCUCUUUUGGCGGGGACGAUGAUGACGGUACCCGCAGAAUAAGCCCCGGCUAACUUCGUGCCAGCAGCCGCGGUAACAC
rnacentral:rRNA from 1 species